rnacentral:lncRNA from 1 species
CAGUUUUUUGAUUUACUAGUUUUAGGUCUUUAGAUAGAUAAAAGUUCUGUUUAACUAAUCAUAAGUUUGAACACGCAAUUUCAAAAUGGGUAGUAACUCAACUAAAUAAGCAAAUUAACAUGCAAAAAUCAGAUAACACGAAGGACAAAGAUAAUAAAUAACCAAAAAAUGAAUAAGGGUGCCAUAGGCAUCCCCCAAGCGUCUCUCACUUGUUUUCUUGCUAUCCAAUGCCUUCUAAGAAUAAGGGAUGUGAUGAUUCCAUGCUCGGGCGUUAUAGCGAGUCUUGCAUUAAGACUCAUAUAACUCCAAAUGUAUAUGCAAAGCAAAUAAAACAAAAACCGAAUUAGUAGUGAAAAAACUCUGAAAUAAACAAGAAAAUAAAAAGGCAAAUGACAUAAACCAACAUUAAAGUAAAUCACAGACUCAUAAAAAGACACAGUUUCUCAUUUUUUCACAAAGCUCAUAUGUUGUAAAAUAUACAAAUAUGUCCCAAAAGUACUGCCAGUAGAUUUCUUCAUAUUAAGUUUAGCCCAAUGACAUAUACUUGCCAAAGAAUCCAAAUAAAUUCCUCAACAUCCAAUUCACUAUACAACAAAAGUAUUCCCUUCUAAUAUGACUUUAAGGAGAUUACAGAUUUUAUUCCUUGCUAUAACCUUAAAGAAUUUAGAGAAGUUAUUAUUUAUUCGAAACUCCACUGCAUUGACUAAUUAAGAAAACAUUAAGGGGAGUGCUAUUUUAAAUUAGUUGAGUCUAUUGGCUUUAUGUCUCAAACAAAUUAUAUUAUCAAUUCAACAGAACAUACUUCUCAUUUUAAGGAUCUAAAUUGAUUUUCAGUGAAGGGGCAAAACAACAAAGUCUCAGGCAUUAUAGUCAAUUCUUUGUCAUUUUAGGUCAUUAGAGCAUACUAGUACAUUUUAAGAUCAUGGCUGCUAAGUUAUGAAAAGAAAACUAUUAAGUUAAAAAAAAAAGGAUUAUCUUAAUCAACGAAAGAACCUAAUAUAUUCUUUUUGAUAUGGGAAGCCUAAUAUAUUCUUUUCUAGCAACAAAGAAGAUAUAUCCUUAAAUUAACAUAUUGUCAAGCAUAUAUAUUUUUUCUCAUUAGAAAUCUGAUCCUAAUAAUCGUAGGGCACUGUUUUUCUUAUCAUUUAGAAAGCAACAAAGACGAUGCAUCCAAACUCCAACAGAACAUGUUAUUUUUCAGCAUUUAAGCUAAACAGACAUUUAUAAAUCUGUUUUAAGUUACAACAUCAAGUUCCUAUAUUAUUGCUGAACAUGAGGGUAGGAUUUCCCAGGUUAUGAAAACUCUCAUACAUAAUAUUUAAUCCUAUAGAUAUGAUUUUUAUAAUUUGAAUAAGGUAAAAAAAGCUAUAAUUUUCAUUUAACAGAAUACUUUUCACCUUUUAAAAUGGUUAAAGUGAGUAAACAAUGACAACUCUUAAAUAAUUCAGUGAUUAACAAGUCAUAUUAUUACAUAAUUCAUGAAAUAAAGAUUCUUAACAUGACACCUCUAACUACUAAUUAGUUUAAAACAGUAGUAUUUUACAUGAUAUCUAACCCACGGAAAGAGAGAAAAAAAAAGGGAACUUCAAUAGAACUUCUUUAAUAAACUAAGUUUAGAACUUGAUAGAUAACUAACUAUGUAAUAUAAAUUGAAUGUAAAAAAGAAUGUGGCUGACCUUUUGUGGUGCAGCAAACUGGAGCGAUUUUUCAGCGGCUACUUAAAUCUUCGAAUUCGGAUUGACAAGCUCGAAAUCAGGCACAACUGGGAAUGACAGAGGUAAGGGGGAGCAAGUCCAAAAUUCUGAGAGUAUCUUAGGGGGGUUAAAAAUAAGUAGAGAACUGUAGUUUUUAGAGAGUAAGAGUGAUGGCUUUUUCAUAUCCCCGAAAUAUUCACCAACACCCCUAUUUAUAGGAGACGAUCUAGGGUUUGUCUAGGGUUAAUUUGGGCGGGAUUCUUGAAGGGUUAGGGUUUCAAACGACCAAAGAACCGUUUGAAAUGGUGUGUAGAAGAAAGAAAAAGGACGAUAUGGGUAGGAGAAGCAGGGAUUUGGUUGCCGAAAUGGUGAAAACUUGGAGGAACAAGAAAAGAGAAUCUUUUUACCUCUGUCAUCUUCAUUGUAAAUAGCAAACGAAUUUGAAUUCUUCAAUUAAAGUGCUUGAGUUUGCAGAUGAUUCCUUAGAAUGGCCACACAAAUUUCUGAUUACAAGAUAUGAGAGUCAAAUUUUUCUAAGAAGAAAAAAGGAGCCAAAACCUUCUGCUAUGGCAGAGGGAAAAGAAACGUUUUUUUCUUUGAAAGAGGUAAAGAGAUGGAAUCCUAGUCAAAUUUGAUUUUAAUUUUAAAAAUAAAUCCAACCGUUGGAUUAGAUGCAUCUAAUGACUGAGACUAAUCCUGAUAUAAGUAAAU